GCGUCAGUAGUGUAACGGACAGAGCACGUGCUCCCGGAAUGAGUGAGGUGCGGGUUCUAGUCCCGCUCCCGUCUGACGCG